GGGUUGCGGACAGUGUCUGGUGGGUAGUUUGACUGGGGCGGUCUCCUCCUAAAGAGUAACGGAGGAGCACGAAGGUUGGCUAAUCCUGGUCGGACAUCAGGAGGUUAGUGCAAUGGCAUAAGCCAGCUUGACUGCGAGCGUGACGGCGCGAGCAGGUGCGAAAGCAGGUCAUAGUGAUCCGGUGGUUCUGAAUGGAAGGGCCAUCGCUCAACGGAUAAAAGGUACUCCGGGGAUAACAGGCUGAUACCGCCCAAGAGUUCAUAUCGACGGCGGUGUUUGGCACCUCGAUGUCGGCUCAUCACAUCCUGGGGCUGAAGUAGGUCCCAAGGGUAUGGCUGUUCGCCAUUUAAAGUGGUACGCGAGCUGGGUUUAGAACGUCGUGAGACAGUUCGGUCCCUAUCUGCCGUGGGCGCUGGAGAACUGAGGGGGGCUGCUCCUAGUACGAGAGGACCGGAGUGGACGCAUCACUGGUGUUCGGGUUGUCAUGCCAAUGGCACUGCCCGGUAGCUAAAUGCGGAAGAGAUAAGUGCUGAAAGCAUCUAAGCACGAAACUUGCCCCGAGAUGAGUUCUCCCUGACUCCCUGAGAGUCCUGAAGGAACGUUGAAGACGACGACGUUGAUAGGCCGGGUGUGUAAGCGCAGCGAUGCGUUGAGCUAACCGGUACUAAUGAACCGUGAGGCUUAACCUU
rnacentral:rRNA from 1 species